rnacentral:rRNA from 1 species
GAUGAACGCUGGCGGCGUGCCUAAUACAUGCAAGUCGAGCGAACGGACGAGAAGCUUGCUUCUCUGAUGUUAGCGGCGGACGGGUGAGUAACACGUGGAUAACCUACCUAUAAGACUGGGAUAACUUCGGGAAACCGGAGCUAAUACCGGAUGAUAUUUUGAACCGCAUGGUUCAACAGUGAAAGACGGCCUUGCUGUCACUUCUAGAUGGAUCCGCGCUGCAUUAGCUAGUUGGUAAGGUAACGGCUUACCAAGGCAACGAUGCAUAGCCGACCUGAGAGGGUGAUAGGCCACCCUGGAACUGAGACACGGUCCAGGCUCCUACGGGAGGCAGCAGUAGGGUAUCUUCCGCAAUGGGCGAAAACCUGACGGAGCAACGCCGCGUGAGUGAUGAAGGUCUUCGGAUCGUAAAACUCUGUUAUUAGGUAAGAACAUAUGUGUAAGGAACUGUGCACAUCGUGACGGUACCUAAUCAGAAAGCCCCGGCUAACUACGUG